AAAAGCCGCAAAAAAUAGUCGCAAACGACGAAAACUACGCUUUAGCAGCUUAAUAACCUGCUCUGAGCCCUCUCUCCCUAGCUUCCGCUCUUAAGACGGGGAUCAAAGAGAGGUCAAACCCAAAAGAGAUCGCGUGGAUGCCCUGCCUGGGGUUGAAGCGUUAAAUCUAAUCAGGCUAGUUUGUUAGUGGCGUGUCUGUCCGCAGCUGGCAAGCGAAUGUAAAGACUGACUAAGCAUGUAGUGCCGAGGAUGUAGGAAUUUCGGACGCGGGUUCAACUCCCGCCAGCUCCACCA
rnacentral:tmRNA from 1 species